rnacentral:rRNA from 1 species
GUACGGCGAGUGAAGCGGGAAGAGCUCAAAUUUGUAAUCUGGCACCUUCGGUGUCCGAGUUGUAAUCUCGAGAAGUGUUUUCCGCGCCGGACCGCAUACAAGUCUGUUGGAAUACAGCGUCAUAGUGGUGAGAACCCCGUAACUGAUGCGGAUGCCCGGUGCUUUGUGAUACACUUUCGAAGAGUCGAGUUGUUUGGGAAUGCAGCUCAAAUUGGGUGGUAAAUUCCAUCUAAAGCUAAAUAUUGGCGAGAGACCGAUAGCGAACAAGUACCGUGAGGGAAAGAUGAAAAGCACUUUGGAAAGAGAGUUAACAGUACGUGAAAUUGUUGGAAGGGAAACGCUUGAAGUCAGACUUGCUAUUUGGAAUUCAGCCGCAAGGUGUACUUUUCAAUUCGCAGGCCAGCAUCAGUUUUCGGGGGUGGAAAAGGGUAGAGAGAAGGUAGCAAUUUCGGUUGUGUUAUAGCUCUUUGCUGGAUUCAUCCUUGGGGACUGAGGAACGCAGCACGCUUUUUGCAAGGCUUUCGAGCUUUUCGUGCUUAGGAUGCUGGUGGAAUGGCUUUAAACGACCCGUCUUGAAA